rnacentral:rRNA from 1 species
GAUGAACGCUGGCGGCGUGCCUAAUACAUGCAAGUCGAGCGAACAGACGAGGAGCUUGCUCCUUCGACGUUAGCGGCGGACGGGUGAGUAACACGUAGGUAACCUACCUAUAAGACUGGGAUAACUUCGGGAAACCGGAGCUAAUACCGGAUAAUAUUUCGAACCGCAUGGUUCGAUAGUGAAAGAUGGCUUUGCUAUCACUUAUAGAUGGACCUGCGCCGUAUUAGCUAGUUGGUAAGGUAACGGCUUACCAAGGCAACGAUACGUAGCCGACCUGAGAGGGUGAUCGGCCACACUGGAACUGAGACACGGUCCAGACUCCUACGGGAGGCAGCAGUAGGGAAUCUUCCGCAAUGGGCGAAAGCCUGACGGAGCAACGCCGCGUGAGUGAUGAAGGUCUUCGGAUCGUAAAACUCUGUUAUUAGGGAAGAACAAACGUGUAAGUAACUGUGCACGUCUUGACGGUACCUAAUCAGAAAGCCACGGCUAACUACGU